rfam:Bacillus glycinifermentans strain GO-13 contig_28, whole genome shotgun sequence.
AAGACCUUUUAAAUGAAGUCCAGAGAGGCUUGAAAGGGUUGUUGAAAGGGAAGUGCAUAAGCGCAUUCUCUGAUUCACUAUACCCCAAGCCAUUCGGUUUGGGGUUUUUUUAUA